rnacentral:tRNA from 1 species
ACCACGGUGGUCUAGCGGUCAGAACACUAGCCUUGUAAGCCUGGGGUCCCGGGUUCAAUUUCCGGUGGUGCUC